rnacentral:rRNA from 1 species
GAUGAACGCUGGCGGCGUGCCUAAUACAUGCAAGUCGAGCGAACAGACGAGGAGCUUGCUCCUCUGACGUUAGCGGCGGACGGGUGAGUAACACGUGGAUAACCUACCUAUAAGACUGGGAUAACUUCGGGAAACCGGAGCUAAUACCGGAUAAUAUAUUGAACCGCAUGGUUCAAUAGUGAAAGACGGUUUUGCUGUCACUUAUAGAUGGAUCCGCGCCGCAUUAGCUAGUUGGUAAGGUAACGGCUUACCAAGGCAACGAUGCGUAGCCGACCUGAGAGGGUGAUCGGCCACACUGGAACUGAGACACGGUCCAGACUCCUACGGGAGGCAGCAGUAGGGAAGCUUCCGCAAUGGGCGAAAGCCUGACGGAGCAACGCCGCGUGAGUGAUGAAGGUCUUCGGAUCGUAAAACUCUGUUAUUAGGGAAGAACAAAUGUGUAAGUAACUAUGCACGUCUUGACGGUACCUAAUCAGAAAGCCGCGGCUAACUACGUG